CUAUUCUAUGGUACUAAUUCUCAAACACCCACGACCCAGAUGGUGUCUUAUUCUGACCAGUUUACAAAUAAGGAAGGGCAAGUUCAGACAGGGGUAGUUUGGCCAAGAUCACACAGACUUGAUACUUGAAGGUUUCUAACACCUGAGUCUAUAAGUGACCUUAGGCAGGUUGCUUAAUUUGUUCCUCCAUUUCCUUAUGUGAAAGUCAAGAUGGUAGUAACAGCAUUUCUUACUUCAGAGAAUGUCACUAUUUUCGUUGUUAGGAUCUCACCUCUGGCCAAAAACUAAAGAUAAUAGAGGCUGGAAAAGUGAAGAGGACCAUCCACUGGUGUUAUCAACCAAGGACAUUUCUGUUGUCACAGUGUCCAGGAGGAGCUUUUGAAGGCUGGGAACCAGGAGUGUUAGUGAUCAGUUCUACCUCAGUUGAGAUACACAUGAGAAGGCUAUUGGAAUUUAGCUCCUUGGAAGUGUACCAAUCCCAGUGACAGGUUGCUGGGUGAAAGUCCACCUUAACAUGAACUUGAGAUCCAAAAGAGACUGGGAAAAAAAUGGUACCUAGUUGGAGACAGAACAAGACUCUGAAGACAAGCCAGAUCCAGGACAGCCAGGCUCUAACCACUGAGCAGAAGUGGAAAGCUCAGGGUUCUAGGUGAGGAGUGGUAGGCAGCCAGGGAAGAGGACAGAUUAAAGGGGCGAAUCUGGCUCCCAUUCAUAGACUACAAGUAACCCUGUCUACACUGGCAUUGAGCUGCUCUGAGGGUUCGAGCAGUGUGCAGAGGAACAGCAGUGUGAGACACUUGAAGAAAGGUGGCCAGUGAGAGCCCAAGGGAAGGGCGUGGGGUGGGCAUGUUCUCUCAGGCGCAUGGGGGAAGGGUUAGGGAGUGUGGUUCUGAGAGAGAUGGGCUGGUUUGGACUCAAGGUGAUCACAGUGAAUUUAAAGUAUGAAAGGUCCUAUGGGAGAUGUCCAGCGGGGAGCUGGAGCUCCUGGUUGGAAGCCAGGACUGAAGUACCACUUUGAGAGUCAUCAAUCCACAUUCAUUGAGUACCCCAUGCUCAAUACACUUUUGACAUAGGGCCCCUUUGAGGACUGCUCCUAUGAUGAAGUUGCCAUUUGAGUUUGAAGUCCUGCUUGAAGAUGAGUAGACUGGGAGAGAGUGGAAGGGGACAUGCUGAAAACUGAACCUAGACUUCUUCAUACGAGGCUCAAGAAGGGCUCCUGUGGCUCUAACAGCAGCUCCCUGUCACCAGCCCCAUUGCUUCAGGAAAGGAGCAUAGGACCUGACUGCCAUCAGAGCCAGUGACUUGAGAAUGGUGGCUGCAGACAACGGCACUCACCCAAUGAGGGGAGAAGGCAGUGGGAGAUGAAUGGGGUUGGGGGGCAGAGAAGCUUGGCCUGCAGGACAGAGCUGUAGCCCAGGAGCCCCCUUCUGGAGGUUCUAUUUGUUAUUUGUAGCCAGGAGCAUCCUAGUACUGCACAAAAUGACCAACAAUUUGGCAGAGAACACAAAAUGGAGAGAUGGAUGAGAAUAGGGAAAGACAUUUGGAGGAAGAUGACCAAUAGCAGACUAGUAAGGAGACAACAACAACAACAACAACACAUAGACAUAGACAGGCUCUUGACAAAGAGACGACCUACAGCUUUCCGCCGACUCACCACAGACCAGACCAGAGUCCUCAUCCAGUGGCUGAUGGAAGCAGAGACAGACAUCCACAGAAAUAACACUGAGCUGAAAUCUGGAACCUAGUUGAAGAGAGGGAGGAAUGAAGAACGAAGGGGUCUGUACCAGGUUGGAGAAACCCACAGAAACAGUUGGCCUGAAAAAGGGAAAGCAUAUCGACCCCAGACGCUCUUUGGGAGGCCAGUACGGGACUAAUCCAGCCCCCUGAUCAUGGAUGCCAAUGGGGAGGCCCCUGCACUCCUGGGAGCCUCCGGAGGUGGACUGGUGUUUUGCCCUGGUG
ensembl:lncRNA